UUGCCCUCUGUGCUGGCUCUCUUGCAGUGCACGUCGGUGACUUUCUCAAUCCAACACCCUUGUGAACCUUUGGCCUCUUGCUAGCUUCACGGCUGGCAGAGGAUUUCUACAUACAAACUCGAAUGUAAUGAAACUCUUGUUGUGCACAAGCACUACUAAUACAACUUUCAACAACGGAUCUCUUGGCUCUCGCAUCGAUGAAGAACGCAGCGAAAUGCGAUAAGUAAUGUGAAUUGCAGAAUUCAGUGAAUCAUCGAAUCUUUGAACGCACCUUGCACCCUUUGGCAUUCUGAAGGGUAUGCUCGUUUGAGUGUCAUUGUACUCUCACACUCCCGAUCUUUGUAUUGGGAGCGGUGGACUUGGGUUUGCUGCUUCACCGCAGCUUACCUCAAAUAUGUUAGUGCAACUCUUGGUUGGACAUAAUACGGCGUGAUAAGUGUUCUUUCGCCGGUGCCUCGCAAAGAGGGUGGCCGAUCGGGGGGUUGUGCUUCAAACCGUCCGUCUUUGGACAAUAUCUGACAACUUGACCUCAAAUCGAGUAAGACUACCCGCUGAACUUAAGCAUAUCAAUAAGCGGAGGAA
rnacentral:rRNA from 2 species